GCAUUGGUGAUUCAGAGGCAGAAUUCUCACUUUUCACAUGGGAGAUCAGGUUAGAGUCCUGGCCGAGGCA
rnacentral:tRNA from 1 species